GAUGAACGCUGGCGGCGUGCCUAAUACAUGCAAGUCGAGCGAACUGAUUAGAAGCUUGCUUCUAUGACGUUAGCGGCGGACGGGUGAGUAACACGUGGGCAACCUGCCUGUAAGACUGGGAUAACUUCGGGAAACCGAAGCUAAUACCGGAUAGGAUCUUCUCCUUCAUGGGAGAUGAUUGAAAGAUGGUUUCGGCUAUCACUUACAGAUGGGCCCGCGGUGCAUUAGCUGGUUGGUGAGGUAACGGCUCACCAAGGCAACGAUGCAUAGCCGACCUGAGAGGGUGAUCGGCCACACUGGGACUGAGACACGGCCCAGACUCCUACGGGAGGCAGCAGUAGGGAAUCUUCCGCAAUGGACGAAAGUCUGACGGAGCAACGCCGCGUGAGUGAUGAAGGCUUUCGGGUCGUAAAACUCUGUUGUUAGGGAAGAACAAGUACAAGAGUAACUGCUUGUACCUUGACGGUACCUAACCAGAAAGCCACGGCUAACUACGUGCCAGCCGCCGCGGUAA
rnacentral:rRNA from 1 species